rnacentral:pre_miRNA from 1 species
CUGCUACUCCCUCCGUCCGGAAAUACUUGUCAUCAAAAUCAAUAAAAGGGGAUGUAUCUAGAUGUAUUUUAGUUCUAGAUACAUCCCUUUUUGUCUAUUUUGAUGACAAGUAUUUCCGGACGGAGGGAGUACAUC